GGAUGGGAAGGUUUUUGGGGAAUGAGGGAUUGACAAUAUCCCUCAGGCUGGGAAGGUUUUUGGGAAAUGAGGGGUUGACAAUAUCCCUAGGCUGGGAAGUUUUUGGGAAAUGAGGGAUUGACAAUAUCCCUCAGGCUGGGAAGGUUUUUGGGAAAUGAGGGGUUGACAAUAUCCCUAGGCUGGGAAGGUUUUUGGGAAAUUAAGGGGAUUGACAAUAUCCCUCAGGCUGGGAAGGUUUUUGGGAAAUGAGGGGUUGACAAUAUCCCUAGGCUGGGAAGGUUUUUGGGAAAUUAAGGGUUGACAAUAUCCCUCAGGAUGGGAAGGUUUUUGGGGAAUGAGGGAUUGACAAUAUCCCUCAGGAUGGGAAGGUUUUUGGGUAAGGAGGGAUUGCCAAUAUCCCUCAGGCUGGGAAGGUUUUUGGGGAAUGAGGGGUUGACAAUACCCCCAGCCCGACUGUCCCUGGGUGGGGAUGGGCGGCUGUGUCUCCCCCAGCCCCCCGCACCCACCCCAGGCCAUGAGGGUGAGAUGCAGAGAGGGAUUUUCUUCACUUCAAAUGGGUGUUCAGAGUGAGAUUUUCAUGCUGGUGCUGGCCCAGCUCCUCCUUCUCCAGGCAGGAACCCACCACAGAGCCGCAGGAGCAUCCCCAAACCCUCUCCUGGGACCAUGCUGGGAUGUCCCCAUGGGCUCCUGGCAUCUCCGAGGCUGGGAGGUGAAGCAGCCCCACCUUGGGCCAUGACUCCCCUCCUCCCCACGGCUCUUUCCAAGCAUUUGCAGGCAAAUCUGAUGCUGGAGAAGUGGGGAUCGUGGUGGCCCAGCUGCUGCUCCCUCCUCCUCCAUUCUCCCCCAUCCCCUUUGCUCCCCGUAGCUCAGUUAUGCAGGUAGGUGUUAGCAAACCUGGGGUGUCUGCAAAAACUUUUGUAAAAUAGAAUAAACCCUUGAAAUGAUGCACUAAAAGGAAAAAAAAAAAAAAUCAUAAAUGCCCCUUUCCCCUCAGCUUCUCUGUGUGAUGGUUCCUUGGAUGUCCCCGCUCAGCCCCACAGGCAGCUCUGCAUCCUCCCCCCAGGCUGCUGCACAGGUAGAAACAAACCAGGACGUGCACUUCCCCCGAGGAGUUUUAUUUAUUGUUUUGAGAAGCAAUUUAAAAGGGAAAAACAACAAAAAAAAAGAGAAACUGUAUCUAUAAUAUAUAUAUAUAUAUAUAUAUAUAUUUUUAACCUCUUUUUUUUUUUUCCUGAUGCUCCUCCACCCGUGUGUGUGGGUGUGUGUGUGUGUGCGAGUCAAGGGAUUUGGUGGCCAGGGCUGGCAGCUCGGGGCAGCCGUGGGGCAGCCGUGGGGCAGCUGUGGGGCAGCUGUGGGGCAGUUUUGGGGCAGUUUUGGGGCAGUUGUGGGGCAGCUGCCCCCGUCCCCAGCCGGAGCACAGGGACCAGGGCUCCCUCCCAUCCCAGCUCUCAGUGCCCAGCAGCAGCAGUGCGAGGGGAGGGAGGCUUUAUGUGGAGUUUGUAAUAUUUUAACCGGGAUUUUUGCCUAAUUCCAUCUUUCUCUGAAGUGUUUGCAACCCUCGGGCUCUGGCCUGACCGAGAACCUCCCGCGCCCUGGGGAUGUCACCCCCACUCCCUGUCCCCGUUCCCUCCCUACUUCGCUCCCUUGACAAUCAGUGGCUCCUUCCCAGGGACUGCAGCACGUGGUUGAGACGUCUAUUUCGUUUUUUCAAUAUUCCUUUUUUUGUGCUGUAUGGUGAUGCGUUAUUGUAUAUUCCACAAUAAGACAAAAAAAAAUAUAUAAAAAAAAUGAUAAUAAUAAUAAUUACCAUGAGAAAUUCUUAUGAGUUUUGUUUGGAAACUCUUUCACUAUAUUUGUUGUAAAGAGGUUUACUAUUAAAAAGAAAAAAAAAAA
ensembl:lncRNA